rnacentral:rRNA from 1 species
GAUGAACGCUGACAGAAUGCUUAACACAUGCAAGUCAACUUGAAUUUGGGUUUUUAACUUAGGUUUGGGUGGCGGACGGGUGAGUAACGCGUAAAGAACUUGCCUCACAGCUAGGGACAACAUUUGGAAACGAAUGCUAAUACCUAAUAUUAUGAUAAUAGGGCAUCCUAUAAUUAUGAAAGCUAUAAGCGCUGUGAGAGAGCUUUGCGUCCCAUUAGCUAGUUGGAGAGGUAACGGCUCACCAAGGCGAUGAUGGGUAGCCGGCCUGAGAGGGUGAUCGGCCACAAGGGGACUGAGAUACGGCCCUUACUCCUACGGGAGGCAGCAGUGGGGAAUAUUGGACAAUGGACCAAGAGUCUGAUCCAGCAAUUCUGUGUGCACGAUGAAGUUUUUCGGAAUGUAAAGUGCUUUCAGUUGGGAAGAAAGAAAUGACGGUACCAACAGAAGAAGUGACGGCUAAAUACGUG